rnacentral:lncRNA from 1 species
AUGUUCUACCCACAAGUUGUUAUUUUUUUCAACCAGCCUAAAAGUCCUGAUUAUCAGUUCAGGAUCUCUGGCAAUGCCUGUUGGGUCCAAACUACUGAGCUUUUUUCUGCAGGAAGGGCUGGGCUUAUGAUUGACUAUUGGGAUGAAUAGUCCUUUUGGAAUAGUGUGUUGUCUCAGCCACUAUGUUUUCUACCUUUAUUCCCCCAGCACCCUUCGAUAGCUCAGUUGGUAGAGCGGAGGACUUUAGCCUGUGAACCUUGGGUUGCUGGUUCAACUCCCGCUCCAAACCUUGUCUUCAUCUGUCAACUCCAUCACUCAAACUGUACAAACAACAUUUUCUCCUCCUUAAUGUUCCAACCACAAGUUGUUAUUUUUUUUCAACCAGCCUAAAAGUCCUGAUUAUCAGUUCAGGAUCUCUGGCAAUGCCUGUUGGGUCCAAACUACUGAGCUUUUUUCUGCAGGAAGGGCUGGGCUUAUGAUUGACUAUUGGGAUGAAUAGUCCUUUUGGAAUAGUGUGUUGUCUCAGCCACUAUGUUUUCUGCCUUUGUUCCCCCAGCACCCUUCGAUAGCUCAGUUGGUAGAGCGGAGGACUUUAGGCCGUGAUCCUUGGGUUGCUGGUUCAACUCCUGCUCCAAACCUUGUCUUCAUCUGUCAACUCCAUCACUCAAACUGUACAAACAACAUUUUCUCCUCCUUUAUGUUCCAACCACAAGUUGUUAUUUUUUUCAACCAGCCUAAAAGUCCUGAUUAUCAGUUCAGGAUCUCUGGCAAUGCCUGUUGGGUCCAAACUACUGAGCUUUUUUCUGCAGGAAGGGCUGGGCUUAUGAUUGACUAUUGGGAUGAAUAGUCCUUUUGGAAUAGUGUGUUGUCUCAGCCACUAUGUUUUCUGCCUUUGUCACCCCAGCACCCUUCGAUAGCUCAGUUGGUAGAGUGGCGGACUAUACGCUGUGAUCCUUGGGUUGCUUGUUCAACUCCCCCUCCAAACCUUGUCUUCAUCUGUCAACUCCAUCACUCAAACUGUACAAACAACAUUUUCUCCUCCUUUAUGUUCCAACCACAAGUUGUUAUUUUUUUCAACCAGCCUAAAAGUCCUGAUUAUCAGUUCAGGAUCUCUGGCAAUGCCUGUUGGGUCCAAACUACUGAGCUUUUUUCUGCAGGAAGGGCUGGGCUUAUGAUUGACUAUUGGGAUGAAUAGUCCUUUUGGAAUAGUGUGUUGUCUCAGCCACUAUGUUUUCUGCCUUUGUUCCCCCUGCACCCUUCGAUAGCUAAGUUGGUAGAGCGCAGGACUUUAGGCUGUGAUCCUUCGGUUGCUGGUUCAACUCCCGGUCCAAACCUUGUCUUCAUCUGUCAACUCCAUCACUCAAACUGUACAAACAACAUUUUCUCCUCCUUUAUGUUCCAACCACAAGUUGUUAUUUUUUUCAACCAGCCUAAAAGUCCUGAUUAUCAGUUCAGGAUCUCUGGCAAUGCCUGUUGGGUCCAAACUACUGAGCUUUUUUCUGCAGGAAGGGCUGGGCUUAUGAUUGACUAUUGGGAUGAAUAGUCCUUUUGGAAUAGUGUGUUGUCUCAGCCACUAUGUUUUCUGCCUUUGUUCCCCCAGCACCCUUCGAUAGCUCAGUUGGUAGAGCGCAGGACUUUAGGCUGUGAUCCUUGGGUUGCUGGUUCAACUCCCGCUCCAAACCUUGUCUUCAUCUGUCAACUCCAUCACUCAAAUGUACAAACAACAUUUUCUCCUCCUUUAUGUUCCAACCACAAGUUGUUAUUUUUUUCAACCAGCCUAAAAGUCCUGAUUAUCAGUUCAGGAUCUCUGGCAAUGCCUGUUGGGUCCAAACUACUGAGCUUUUUUCUGCAGGAAGGGCUGGGCUUAUGAUUGACUAUUGGGAUGAAUAGUCCUUUUGGAAUAGUGUGUUGUCUCAGCCACUAUGUUUUCUGCCUUUGUUCCCCCAGCACCCUUCGAUAGCUCAGUUGGUAGAGCGCAGGACUUUAGGCUGUGAUCCUUGGGUUGCUGGUUCAACUCCCGCUCCAAACCUUGUCUUCAUCUGUCAACUCCAUCACUCAAAUGUACAAACAACAUUUUCUCCUCCUUUAUGUUCCAACCACAAGUUGUUAUUUUUUUCAACCAGCCUAAAAGUCCUGAUUAUCAGUUCAGGAUCUCUGGCAAUGCCUGUUGGGUCCAAACUACUGAGCUUUUUUCUGCAGGAAGGGCUGGGCUUAUGAUUGACUAUUGGGAUGAAUAGUCCUUUUGGAAUAGUGUGUUGUCUCAGCCACUAUGUUUUCUGCCUUUGUUCACCCAGCACCCUUCGAUAGCUCAGUUGGUAGAGCGGAGCACUUUAGGCUGUGAUCCUUGGGUUGCUGGUUCAACUCCCGCUCCAAACCUUGUCUUCAUCUGUCAACUCCAUCACUCAAAAUGUACAAACAACAUUUUCUCCUCCUUUAUGUUCCAACCACAAGUUGUUAUUUUUUUCAACCAGCCUAAAAGUCCUGAUUAUCAGUUCAGGAUCUCUGGCAAUGCCUGUUGGGUCCAAACUACUGAGCUUUUUUCUGCAGGAAGGGCUGGGCUUAUGAUUGACUAUUGGGAUGAAUAGUCCUUUUGGAAUAGUGUGUUGUCUCAGCCACUAUGUUUUCUGCCUUUGUUCCCCCAGCACCCUUCCAUAGCUCAGUUGGUAGAGCGUAGGACUGUAGGCUGUGAUCCUUGGGUUGCUGGUUCAACUCCCGCUCCAAACCUUGUCUUCAUCUGUCAACUCCAUCACUCAAACUGUACAAACAACAUUUUCUCCUCCUUUAUGUUCCAACCACAAGUUGUUAUUUUUUUCAACCAGCCUAAAAGUCCUGAUUAUCAGUUCAGGAUCUCUGGCAAUGCCUGUUGGGUCCAAACUACUGAGCUUUUUUCUGCAGGAAGGGCUGGGCUUAUGAUUGACUAUUGGGAUGAAUAGUCCUUUUGGAAUAGUGUGUUGUCUCAGCCACUAUGUUUUCUGCCUUUGUUCCCCCAGCACCUUUCGAUAGCUCAGUUCGUAGAGCGCAGGACUUUAGGCUGUGAUCCUUGGGUUGCUGGUUCAACUCCCGCUCCAAACCUUGUCUUCAUCUGUGAACUCCAUCACUCAGACUGUACAAACAACAUUUUCUCCUCCUUUAUGUUCCAACCACAAGUUGUUAUUUUUUUCAACCAGCCUAAAAGUCCUGAUUAUCAGUUCAGGAUCUCUGGCAAUGCCUGUUGGGUCCAAACUACUGAGCUUUUUUCUGCAGGAAGGGCUGGGCUUAUGAUUGACUAUUGGGAUGAAUAGUCCUUUUGGAUUAGUGUGUUGUCUCAGCCACUAUGUUUUCUUGCUUUGUUCCCCCAGCACCCUUCGAUAGCUCAGUUGGUAGAGUGCAGGACUUUAGGCUGUGAUCCUUGGGUUGCUGGUUCAACUCCCGCUCCAAACCGUGUCUUCAUCUGUCAACUCCAUCACUCAAACUGUACAAACAACAUUUUCUCCUCCUUUAUGUUCCAACCACAAGUUGUUAUUUUUUUCAACCAGCCUAAAAGUCCUGAUUAUCAGUUCAGGAUCUCUGGCAAUGCCUGUUGGGUCCAAACUACUGAGCUUUUUUCUGCAGGAAGGGCUGGGCUUAUGAUUGACUAUUGGGAUGAAUAGUCCUUUUGGCAUAGUGUGUUGUCUCAGCCACUAUGUUUUCUGCCUUUGUUCCCCCAGCACCCUUCGAUAGCUCAGUUGGUAGAGCGGAGGACUGUAGGCUGUGAUCCUUGGGUUGCUGGUUCAACUCCCGCUCCAAACCUUGUCUUCAUCUGUCAACUCCAUCACUCAAACUGUACAAACAACAUUUUCUCCUCCUUUAUGUUCCAACCACAAGUUGUUAUUUUUUUCAACCAGCCUAAAAGUCCUGAUUAUCAGUUCAGGAUCUCUGGCAAUGCCUGUUGGGUCCAAACUACUGAGCUUUUUUCUGCAGGAAGGGCUGGGCUUAUGAUUGACUAUUGGGAUGAAUAGUCCUUUUGGAAUAGUGUGUUGUCUCAGCCACUAUGUUUUCUGCCUUUGUUACCCCAGCACCCUUCGAUAGCUCAGUUGGUAGAGCGCAGGACUUUAGGCUGUGAUCCUUGGGUUGCUGGUUCAACUCCCGCUCCAAACCUUGUCUUCAUCUGUCAACUCCAUCACUCAAAAUGUACAAACAACAUUUUCUCCUCCUUUAUGUUCCAACCACAAGUUGUUAUUUUUUUCAACCAGCCUAAAAGUCCUGAUUAUCAGUUCAGGAUCUCUGGCAAUGCCUGUUGGGUCCAAACUACUGAGCUUUUUUCUGCAGGAAGGGCUGGGCUUAUGAUUGACUAUUGGGAUGAAUAGUCCUUUUGGAAUAGUGUGUUGUCUCAGCCACUAUGUUUUCUGCCUUUGUUACCCCUGCACCCUUCCAUAGCUCAGUUGGUAGAGCGGAGGACUUUAGGCUGUGAUCCUUGGGUUGCUGGUUCAACUCCCGCUCCAAACCUUGUCUUCAUCUGUCAACUCCAUCACUCAAACUGUACAAACAACAUUUUCUCCUCCUUUAUGUUCCAACCACAAGUUGUUAUUUUUUUCAACCAGCCUAAAAGUCCUGAUUAUCAGUUCAGGAUCUCUGGCAAUGCCUGUUGGGUCCAAACUACUGAGCUUUUUUCUGCAGGAAGGGCUGGGCUUAUGAUUGACUAUUGGGAUGAAUAGUCCUUUUGGAAUAGUGUGUUGUCUCAGCCACUAUGUUUUCUGCCUUUGUUCCCCCAGCACCCUUCGAUAGCUCAGUUGGUACAGCGCAGGACUUUAGGUUGUGAUCCUUGGGUUGCUGGUUCAACUCCCGCUCCAAACCUUGUCUUCAUCUGUCAACUCCAUCACUCAAACUGUACAAACAACAUUUUCUCCUCCUUUAUGUUCCAACCACAAGUUGUUAUUUUUUUCAACCAGCCUAAAAGUCCUGAUUAUCAGUUCAGGAUCUCUGGCAAUGCCUGUUGGGUCCAAACUACUGAGCUUUUUUCUGCAGGAAGGGCUGGGCUUAUGAUUGACUAUUGGGAUGAAUAGUCCUUUUGGAAUAGUGUGUUGUCUCAGCCACUAUGUUUUCUGCCUUUGUUCCCCCAGCACCCUUCGAUAGCUCAGUUGGUAGAGCGCAGGACUUUAGGCUGUGAUCCUUGGGUUGCUGGUUCAACUCCCGCUCCAAACCUUGUCUUCAUCUGUCAACUCAAACUGUACAAACAACAUUUUCUCCUCCUUUAUGUUCCAACCACAAGUUGUUAUUUUUUUCAACCAGCCUAAAAGUCCUGAUUAUCAGUUCAGGAUCUCUGGCAAUGCCUGUUGGGUCCAAACUACUGAGCUUUUUUCUGCAGGAAGGGCUGGGCUUAUGAUUGACUAUUGGGAUGAAUAGUCCUUUUGGAAUAGUGUGUUGUCUCAGCCACUAUGUUUUCUGCCUUUGUUACCCCAGCACCCUUCCAUAGCUCAGUUGGUAGAGCGGAGGACUUUAGGCUGUGAUCCUUGGGUUGCUGGUUCAACUCCCGCUCCAAACCUUGUCUUCAUCUGUCAACUCCAUCACUCAAACUGUACAAACAACAUUUUCUCCUCCUUUAUGUUCCAACCACAAGUUGUUAUUUUUUUCAACCAGCCUAAAAGUCCUGAUUAUCAGUUCAGGAUCUCUGGCAAUGCCUGUUGGGUCCAAACUACUGAGCUUUUUUCUGCAGGAAGGGCUGGGCUUAUGAUUGACUAUUGGGAUGAAUAGUCCUUUUGGAAUAGUGUGUUGUCUCAGCCACUAUGUUUUCUGCCUUUGUUCACCCAGCACCCUUCGAUAGCUCAGUUGGUAGAGCGGAGGACUUUAGGCUGUGAUCCUUGGGUUGCUGGUUCAACUCCCGCUCCAAACCUUGUCUUCAUCUGUCAACUCCAUCACUCAAAAUGUACAAACAACAUUUUCUCCUCCUUUAUGUUCCAACCACAAGUUGUUAUUUUUUUCAACCAGCCUAAAAGUCCUGAUUAUCAGUUCAGGAUCUCUGGCAAUGCCUGUUGGGUCCAAACUACUGAGCUUUUUUCUGCAGGAAGGGCUGGGCUUAUGAUUGACUAUUGGGAUGAAUAGUCCUUUUGGAAUAGUGUGUUGUCUCAGCCACUAUGUUUUCUGCCUUUGUCACCCCAGCACCCUUCGAUAGCUCAGUUGGUAGAGCGCAGGACUUUAGGCUGUGAUCCUUGGGUUGCUGGUUCAACUCCCGCUCCAAACCUUGUCUUCAUCUGUCAACUCCAUCACUCAAACUGUACAAACAACAUUUUCUCCUCCUUUAUGUUCCAACCACAAGUUGUUAUUUUUUUCAACCAGCCUAAAAGUCCUGAUUAUCAGUUCAGGAUCUCUGGCAAUGCCUGUUGGGUCCAAACUACUGAGCUUUUUUCUGCAGGAAGGGCUGGGCUUAUGAUUGACUAUUGGGAUGAAUAGUCCUUUUGGAAUAGUGUGUUGUCUCAGCCACUAUGUUUUCUGCCUUUGUUCCCCCAGCACCCUUCGAUAGCUCAGUUGGUAGAGCGCAGGACUUUAGGCUGUGAUCCUUGGGUUGCUGGUUCAACUCCCGCUCCAAACCUUGUCUUCAUCUGUCAACUCCAUCACUCAAAAUGUACAAACAACAUUUUCUCCUCCUUUAUGUUCCAACCACAAGUUGUUAUUUUUUUCAACCAGCCUAAAAGUCCUGAUUAUCAGUUCAGGAUCUCUGGCAAUGCCUGUUGGGUCCAAACUACUGAGCUUUUUUCUGCAGGAAGGGCUGGGCUUAUGAUUGACUAUUGGGAUGAAUAGUCCUUUUGGAAUAGUGUGUUGUCUCAGCCACUAUGUUUUCUGCCUUUGUUCCCCCAGCACCCUUCGAUAGCUCAGUUGGUAGAGCGCAGGACUUUAGGCUGUGAUCCUUGGGUUGCUGGUUCAACUCCCGCUCCAAACCUUGUCUUCAUCUGUCAACUCCAUCACUCAAACUGUACAAACAACAUUUUCUCCUCCUUUAUGUUCCAACCACAAGUUGUUAUUUUUUUCAACCAGCCUAAAAGUCCUGAUUAUCAGUUCAGGAUCUCUGGCAAUGCCUGUUGGGUCCAAACUACUGAGCUUUUUUCUGCAGGAAGGGCUGGGCUUAUGAUUGACUAUUGGGAUGAAUAGUCCUUUUGGAAUAGUGUGUUGUCUCAGCCACUAUGUUUUCUGCCUUUGUUCCCCCAGCACCCUUCGAUAGCUCAGUUGGUAGAGCGGAGGACUUUAGGCUGUGAUCCUUGGGUUGCUGGUUCAACUCCCGCUCCAAACCUUGUCUUCAUCUGUCAACUCCAUCACUCAAACUGUACAAACAACAUUUUCUCCUCCUUUAUGUUCCAACCACAAGUUGUUAUUUUUUUCAACCAGCCUAAAAGUCCUGAUUAUCAGUUCAGGAUCUCUGGCAAUGCCUGUUGGGUCCAAACUACUGAGCUUUUUUCUGCAGGAAGGGCUGGGCUUAUGAUUGACUAUUGGGAUGAAUAGUCCUUUUGGAAUAGUGUGUUGUCUCAGCCACUAUGUUUUCUGCCUUUGUUCCCCCAGCACCCUUCGAUAGCUCAGUUGGUAGAGCGCAGGACUUUAGGCUGUGAUCCUUGGGUUGCUGGUUCAACUCCCGCUCCAAACCUUGUCUUCAUCUGUCAACUCCAUCACUCAAAAUGUACAAACAACAUUUUCUCCUCCUUUAUGUUCCAACCACAAGUUGUUAUUUUUUUCAACCAGCCUAAAAGUCCUGAUUAUCAGUUCAGGAUCUCUGGCAAUGCCUGUUGGGUCCAAACUACUGAGCUUUUUUCUGCAGGAAGGGCUGGGCUUAUGAUUGACUAUUGGGAUGAAUAGUCCUUUUGGAAUAGUGUGUUGUCUCAGCCACUAUGUUUUCUGCCUUUGUUACCCCAGCACCCUUCCAUAGCUCAGUUGGUAGAGCGGAGGACUUUAGGCUGUGAUCCUUGGGUUGCUGGUUCAACUCCCGCUCCAAACCUUGUCUUCAUCUGUCAACUCCAUCACUCAAACUGUACAAACAACAUUUUCUCCUCCUUUAUGUUCCAACCACAAGUUGUUAUUUUUUUCAACCAGCCUAAAAGUCCUGAUUAUCAGUUCAGGAUCUCUGGCAAUGCCUGUUGGGUCCAAACUACUGAGCUUUUUUCUGCAGGAAGGGCUGGGCUUAUGAUUGACUAUUGGGAUGAAUAGUCCUUUUGGAAUAGUGUGUUGUCUCAGCCACUAUGUUUUCUGCCUUUGUUCCCCCAGCACCCUUCGAUAGCUCAGUUGGUAGAGCGCAGGACUUUAGGCUGUGAUCCUUGGGUUGCUGGUUCAACUCCCGCUCCAAACCUUGUCUUCAUCUGUCAACUCCAUCACUCAAAAUGUACAAACAACAUUUUCUCCUCCUUUAUGUUCCAACCACAAGUUGUUAUUUUUUUCAACCAGCCUAAAAGUCCUGAUUAUCAGUUCAGGAUCUCUGGCAAUGCCUGUUGGGUCCAAACUACUGAGCUUUUUUUCUGCAGGAAGGGCUGGGCUUAUGAUUGACUAUUGGGAUGAAUAGUCCUUUUGGAAUAGUGUGUUGUCUCAGCCACUAUGUUUUCUGCCUUUGUCACCCCAGCACCCUUCGAUAGCUCAGUUGGUAGAGUGGCGGACUAUACGCUGUGAUCUUUGGGUUGCUGGUUCAACUCCCGCUCCAAACCUUGUCUUCAUCUGUCAACUCCAUCACUCAAACUGUACAAACAACAUUUUCUCCUCCUUUAUGUUCCAACCACAAGUUGUUAUUUUUUUCAACCAGCCUAAAAGUCCUGAUUAUCAGUUCAGGAUCUCUGGCAAUGCCUGUUGGGUCCAAACUACUGAGCUUUUUUCUGCAGGAAGGGCUGGGCGUAUGAUUGACUAUUGGGAUGAAUAGUCCUUUUGGAAUAGUGUGUUGUCUCAGCCACUAUGUUUUCUGCCUUUGUUCCCCCAGCACCCUUCGAUAGCUCAGUUGGUAGACCGUAGGACUGUAGGCUGUGAUCCUUGGGUUGCUGGUUCAACUCCCGCUCCAAACCUUGUCUUCAUCUGUCAACUCCAUCACUCAAAAUGUACAAACAACAUUUUCUCCUCCUUUAUGUUCCAACCACAAGUUGUUAUUUUUUUCAACCAGCCUAAAAGUCCUGAUUAUCAGUUCAGGAUCUCUGGCAAUGCCUGUUGGGUCCAAACUACUGAGCUUUUUUCUGCAGGAAGGGCUGGGCUUAUGAUUGACUAUUGGGAUGAAUAGUCCUUUUGGAAUAGUGUGUUGUCUCAGCCACUAUGUUUUCUGCCUUUGUUCCCCCAGCACCCUUCGAUAGCUCAGUUGGUAGAGCGAGGACUUUAGGCUGUGAUCCUUGGGUUGCUGGUUCAACUCCCGCUCCAAACCUUGUCUUCAUCUGUCAACUCAAAAUGUACAAACAACAUUUUCUCCUCCUUUAUGUUCCAACCACAAGUUGUUAUUUUUUUCAACCAGCCUAAAAGUCCUGAUUAUCAGUUCAGGAUCUCUGGCAAUGCCUGUUGGGUCCAAACUACUGAGCUUUUUUCUGCAGGAAGGGCUGGGCUUAUGAUUGACUAUUGGGAUGAAUAGUCCUUUUGGAAUAGUGUGUUGUCUCAGCCACUAUGUUUUCUGCCUUUGUUCCCCCAGCACCCUUCGAUAGCUCAGUUGGUAGAGCGAGGACUGUAGGCUGUGAUCCUUGGGUUGCUGGUUCAACUCCCGCUCCAAACCUUGUCUUCAUCUGUCAACUCCAUCACUCAAAAUGUACAAACAACAUUUUCUCCUCCUUUAUGUUCCAACCACAAGUUGUUAUUUUUUUCAACCAGCCUAAAAGUCCUGAUUAUCAGUUCAGGAUCUCUGGCAAUGCCUGUUGGGUCCAAACUACUGAGCUUUUUUCUACAGGAAGGGCUGGGCUUAUGAUUGACUAUUGGGAUGAAUAGUCCUUUUGGAAUAGUGUGUUGUCUCAGCCACUAUGUUUUCUGCCUUUGUUCACCCCAGCACCCUUCGAUAGCUCAGUUGGUAGAGCGCAGGACUUUAGGCUGUGAUCCUUGGGUUGCUGGUUCAACUCCCGCUCCAAACCUUGUCUUCAUCUGUCAACUCCAUCACUCAAACUGUACAAACAAAAUUUUCUCCUCCUUUAUGUUCCAACCACAAGUUGUUAUUUUUUUCAACCAGCCUAAAAGUCCUGAUUAUCAGUUCAGGAUCUCUGGCAAUGCCUGUUGGGUCCAAACUACUGAGCUUUUUUCUGCAGGAAGGGCUGGGCUUAUGAUUGACUAUUGGGAUGAAUAGUCCUUUUGGAAUAGUGUGUUGUCUCAGCCACUAUGUUUUCUGCCUUUGUUCCCCCAGCACCCUUCGAUAGCUCAGUUGGUAGAGCGCAGGACUUUAGGCUGUGAUCCUUGGGUUGCUGGUUCAACUCCCGCUCCAAACCUUGUCUUCAUCUGUCAACUCCAUCACUCAAAAUGUACAAACAACAUUUUCUCCUCCUUUAUGUUCCAACCACAAGUUGUUAUUUUUUUCAACCAGCCUAAAAGUCCUGAUUAUCAGUUCAGGAUCUCUGGCAAUGCCUGUUGGGUCCAAACUACUGAGCUUUUUUCUGCAGGAAGGGCUGGGCUUAUGAUUGACUAUUGGGAUGAAUAGUCCUUUUGGAAUAGUGUGUUGUCUCAGCCACUAUGUUUUCUGCCUUUGUUCCCCCAGCACCCUUCGAUAGCUCAGUUGGUAGAGCGGAGGACUUUAGGCUGUGAUCCUUGGGUUGCUGGUUCAACUCCCGCUCCAAACCUUGUCUUCAUCUGUCAACUCCAUCACUCAAACUGUACAAACAACAUUUUCUCCUCCUUUAUGUUCCAACCACAAGUUGUUAUUUUUUUCAACCAGCCUAAAAGUCCUGAUUAUCAGUUCAGGAUCUCUGGCAAUGCCUGUUGGGUCCAAACUACUGAGCUUUUUUCUGCAGGAAGGGCUGGGCUUAUGAUUGACUAUUGGGAUGAAUAGUCCUUUUGGAAUAGUGUGUUGUCUCAGCCACUAUGUUUUCUGCCUUUGUUCCCCCAGCACCCUUCGAUAGCUCAGUUGGUAGAGCGGAGGACUUUAGGCUGUGAUCCUUGGGUUGCUGGUUCAACUCCCGCUCCAAACCUUGUCUUCAUCUGUCAACUCCAUCACUCAAAAUGUACAAACAACAUUUUCUCCUCCUUUAUGUUCCAACCACAAGUUGUUAUUUUUUUCAACCAGCCUAAAAGUCCUGAUUAUCAGUUCAGGAUCUCUGGCAAUGCCUGUUGGGUCCAAACUACUGAGCUUUUUUCUGCAGGAAGGGCUGGGCUUAUGAUUGACUAUUGGGAUGAAUAGUCCUUUUGGAAUAGUGUGUUGUCUCAGCCACUAUGUUUUCUGCCUUUGUUACCCCAGCACCCUUCCAUAGCUCAGUUGGUAGAGCGGAGGACUUUAGGCUGUGAUCCUUGGGUUGCUGGUUCAACUCCCGCUCCAAACCUUGUCUUCAUCUGUCAACUCCAUCACUCAAACUGUACAAACAACAUUUUCUCCUCCUUUAUGUUCCAACCACAAGUUGUUAUUUUUUUCAACCAGCCUAAAAGUCCUGAUUAUCAGUUCAGGAUCUCUGGCAAUGCCUGUUGGGUCCAAACUACUGAGCUUUUUUCUGCAGGAAGGGCUGGGCUUAUGAUUGACUAUUGGGAUGAAUAGUCCUUUUGGAAUAGUGUGUUGUCUCAGCCACUAUGUUUUCUGCCUUUGUUCCCCCAGCACCCUUUGAUAGCUCAGUUGGUAGAGCGCAGGACUUUAGGCUGUGAUCCUUGGGUUGCUGCUUCAACUCCCGCUCCAAACCUUGUCUUCAUCUGUCAACUCCAUCACUCAAAAUGUACAAACAACAUUUUCUCCUCCUUUAUGUUCCAACCACAAGUUGUUAUUUUUUUCAACCAGCCUAAAAGUCCUGAUUAUCAGUUCAGGAUCUCUGGCAAUGCCUGUUGGGUCCAAACUACUGAGCUUUUUUCUGCAGGAAGGGCUGGACUUAUGAUUGACUAUUGGGUUGAAUAGUCCUUUUGGAAUAGUGUGUUGUCUCAGCCACUAUGUUUUCUGCCUUUGUUCCCCAGCACCCUUCGAUAGCUCAGUUGGUAGAGCGGGACUUUACGCUGUGAUCCUUGUGUUGCUGGUUCAACUCCCCCUCCAAACCUUGUCUUCAUCUGUCAACUCCAUCACUCAAACUGUACAAACAACAUUUUCUCCUCCUUUAUGUUCCAACCACAAGUUGUUAUUUUUUUCAACCAGCCUAAAAGUCCUGAUUAUCAGUUCAGGAUCUCUGGCAAUGCCUGUUGGGUCCAAACUACUGAGCUUUUUUCUGCAGGAAGGGCUGGGCUUAUGAUUGACUAUUGGGAUGAAUAGUCCUUUUGGAAUAGUGUGUUGUCUCAGCCACUAUGUUUUCUGCCUUUGUUCCCCCAGCACCCUUCGAUAGCUCAGUUGGUAGAGCGUAGGACUGUAGGCUGUGAUCCUUGGGUUGCUGGUUCAACUCCCGCUCCAAACCUUGUCUUCAUCUGUCAACUCCAUCACUCAAAAUGUACAAACAACAUUUUCUCCUCCUUUAUGUUCCAACCACAAGUUGUUAUUUUUU